GAAAAUUAAGAAAAAUGACCCUUUAAUCUUUCCCGGAGUGUAGUAGAUCCGUAAUUUCUUCAUCAGAACUGGAAGCGUUGAAUUGCCAGCAUAACUCCGAUGUUACGAGUUUUGUGUUUUAGUGGACAACGUAGAAUUUUUAAACGCCUCAUAUACUUCACAUUAUUAACAGUAACAGGUUGCAAGAUUACAUGUUUGUCAAAAGAUUCAACACGAAGGU
rnacentral:misc_RNA from 1 species